CCUACGGGAGGCAGCAGUGAGGAAUAUUGGGCAAUGGCCGCAAGGCUGAACCAGCCAUGUCGCGUGAGUGAAGACGGCCCUAGGAUUGUUAAGCCUCUUUGGCCGUGACGCUGAUAACGGUAGCGGUCACAGACGCACCGUCCAACUUUGGGCCAGAAGCCGUAGUUACACGACGGGAGCGAGCGUUUUUCGGAAUUACUGGGCGUAAAGGGAUUGUAGGCGGGUAUGGAGGGUAGCGGGGAAAUGCCCGGGCUCAACCCUGGAACUGCCAUUAUGACUAUGUAUCUAGAGUAAUGGAGAUGAAAGCGGAAUACGCAGGGUAGAGGUGAAAUUCGUAGAUAUAGGGUAGAACACCGAUGGCGAAGGCAGCGAACUGGCCAUUUACUGACGCUGAGGCUCGAAAGCAUGGGUAUCGAACAGGAUUAGAUACCCCGGUAGUC
rnacentral:rRNA from 1 species